rnacentral:rRNA from 1 species
UGAGGAAUAUUGGUCAAUGGGCGAGAGCCUGAACCAGCCAAAUCGCGUGAAGGAAGACUGCCUUAUGGGUUGUAAACUUCUUUUAUACAGGAAUAAAAAAGGGGACGUGUCCCUUAUUGCAUGUACUGUAUGAAUAGGCAUCGGCUAACUCCGUGCCAGCAGCCGCGGUAAUACGGAGGAUGCGAGCGUUAUCCGGAUUUAUUGGGUUUAAAGGGUGCGCAGGCGGGCUUUUAAGUCAGCGGUGAAAUCUCGGGGCUUAACUCCGAAACUGCCGUUGAAACUGGGAGUCUUGAGUAUGGAUGAAGUAGGCGGAAUUCGUUGUGUAGCGGUGACAUGCUUAGAUAUAACGAGGAACUCCGAUUGCGUAGGCAGCUUACUAAGCCAUAACUGACGCUCAGACGAAAGCGUGGGGAUCAAACAGGAUUAGAUACCCUGGUAGUCCACGCCGUAAACGAUGAUUACUAGUUGUAUGCGAUAUACCGUAUGUGACUAAGCGAAAAGCGAUAAGUAAUCCACCUGGGGAGUACGCCGGCAACGGUGAAACUUAAAUGAAUUGACGGGGUCAUAGCUGUUUCCUG